UGCAGCUGCACUACAAGUUCCCUUCAAGUGGGCAACAACCUGAGGGAUAAAGAACUCAUUAUGCAGCAAAACUGCUGACUCUUCUGGAUGAUAUUGGAACAUGCGCCUUUCCUGCCUCCUCUUUAAUUAUCAGUUUGAUGAAGACCCAGUAAUCGGCCAAAGUUUUCUGCUCAGAUUUCCUUGGAAAAUGAGACUAGGAGUUGGAAGACUUCUAACUUGUGUUGCAAGCUCAAGAUCCUAGCAAAAAAAGACGAAUGAAAGAGAGUUUGGGUUGUUGACCAAACCUUGUUCCAGGUGCUCUGACUGGCGAUUAGCAUGUCACCAUGGAAUUCCAGCCCCAGAAACCAAAUGUAAGAUCCAAAGGAAAAAAUUGCCUCACAA
rnacentral:lncRNA from 1 species